AGCUCGUAGGCGGUUUGUCGCGUCUGCUGUGAAAUCUGGGGGCUCAACCCCCAGCCUGCAGUGGGUACGGGCAGACUAGAGUGCGGUAGGGGAGAUAGGAAUUCCUGGUGUAGCGGUGGAAUGCGCAGAUAUCAGGAGGAACACCGAUGGCGAAGGCAGAUCUCUGGGCCGUAACUGACGCUGAGGAGCGAAAGCAUGGGGAGCGAACAGGAUUAGAUACCCUGGUAGUCCAUGCCGUAAACGUUGGGAACUAGAUGUGGGGGCCAUUCCACGGUCUCCGUGUCGCAGCUAACGCAUUAAGUUCCCCGCCUGGGGAGUACGGCCGCAAGGCUAAAACUCAAAGGAAUUGACGGGGGCCCGCACAAGCGGCGGAGCAUGCGGAUUAAUUCGAUGCAACGCGAAGAACCUUACCAAGGCUUGACAUAUACCGGAAACGUCCAGAGAUGGUCGCCCCGCAAGGUCGGUAUACAGGUGGUGCAUGGUUGUCGUCAGCUCGUGUCGUGAGAUGUUGGGUUAAGUCCCGCAACGAGCGCAACCCUCGUUCUAUGUUGCCAGCACGUUAUGGUGGGAACUCAUAGGAGACUGCCGGGGUCAACUCGGAGGAAGGUGGGGAUGACGUCAAAUCAUCAUGCCCCUUAUGUCUUGGGCUUCACGCAUGCUACAAUGGCCGGUACAAAGGGCUGCGAUACCGUAAGGUGGAGCGAAUCCCAAAAAGCCGGUCUCAGUUCGGAUUGAGGUCUGCAACUCGACCUCAUGAAGUCGGAGUCGCUAGUAAUCGCAGAUCAGCAACGCUGCGGUGAAUACGUUCCCGGGCCUUGUACACACCGCCCGUCAAGUCAUGAAAGUCGGUAACACCCGAAGCCAGUGGCCUAACCCUUGUGGAUGGAGCUGUC
rnacentral:rRNA from 1 species